rnacentral:rRNA from 1 species
UACAGAGGUCCCAAGCGUUGUUCGGAUUCACUGGGCGUAAAGGGUGCGUAGGUGGUAGGAUAAGUCGGAUGUGAAAUCUCGGAGCUCAACUCCGAAAUGGCAUUGGAAACUGUUCUACUUGAGGGUCGGAGGGGGGACUGGAAUUCUCGGUGUAGCAGUGAAAUGCGUAGAUAUCGAGAGGAACACCAGUGGCGAAGGCGAGUCCCUGGACGACUCCUGACACUGAGGCACGAAAGCUAGGGGAG